rnacentral:tRNA from 1 species
GAGGCUUUAGCUUAAUGAAAGCACUUGAUUUGCAUUCAGGAGAUACAGGUUAGUGCCCUGUUGGCCUUA